GACGAACGCUGGCGGCGUGCCUAAUACAUGCAAGUCGAGCGAUGAAGCUUGGUGCUUGCACCUCUUUGAUGAGCAGCGAACGGGUGAGUAACGCGUGGGGAAUCUGCCUUUGAGCGGGGGACAACAUUUGGAAACGAAUGCUAAUACCGCAUAACAUCUUUAAACAUAAGUUUUAAGUUUGAAAGAUGCAAUUGCAUCACUCAAUGAUGAUCCCGCGUUGUAUUAGCUAGUUGGUGAGGUAAAGGCUCACCAAGGCGAUGAUACGUAGCCGACCUGAGAGGGUGAUCGGCCACAUUGGAACUGAGACACGGCCCAAACUCCUACGGGAGGCAGCAGUAGGGAAUCUUCGGCAAUGGACGAAAGUCUGACCGAGCAACGCCGCGUGAGUGAAGAAGGUUUUCGGAUCGUAAAACUCUGUUGGUAGGGAAGAACAAUGGUGAAAGUGAAAAGGUAAUCAAGUAAGGGAAACAACCAAGAAGGGGACGCCAAACUCCGU
rnacentral:rRNA from 1 species